GUUACACUUAUACAAAAUGUGAAACCAUAGCCUCUUUCUGACCAAGUAGUUAAAGGAACGUAGUUAUAGGAACACUCCACUUCUAAACAGUUCUACUAACUGCUCUCCCCCAAAACCGGUUUUAGCCAUUUGCAUUCG